GUUGGGAAGAUGGCAGAUGACUACGGAGGACCACGACGAGAGUUUUUCAGGUUAAAAAUAAUUUACAUUUAUUUGACUUUUUUUUUAUUACUCUGAAUGACUACACAUGUUAAGUUUGGAUGACAUUAUUGUUCUAACAAUUGUAAUAAUGUGUCAUUACAUGUAUACAAACAGACUUCUCAUGGCAGAAGUGCAGGACUCACUUGGUAUAUUUGAGGUAAGACCUGAGAAUCUGAUCUUUGCAUAUAAUAAUAAAUACUACACUGCUGGAAAACUCUAUCAUGGUCUAUCAUGCACAAUGGACCUGGGGUCAGAUGUCUGUGUGACAUCUGUAACCAGAAAGCAGAUCUAAGCACAUUUAACACUGAAACAUUCCAGGAAGCAGAUUUGCAACACCAACUAAAAAAGGUAAACUAAAGUUUUCAACAUCACUUUAUAUAUUGUGUAAUGUGUAGCAUUAGAUAUUUUUUUCAUUUAUUGUCAUUGUUAGAUAUCUUAACGUUACAAUGUUGCAUUCGUUAUUUGAAGGUUCUGAAAAAGAAAGUGUACAAAUUAAAAAAAUAAUAAUAAUUCAAUAACACAAAUGUGACAUACUUGAUGAAAAGCAAAGUAAGGAUAAAAAAACAAGUACAAAUUCAGUUCUGUCUUUUCUGUAUUUAAUUUUUAAUGAAGGAAGAGAUGCUCUUUUAUUAUGCUCUUCUUCUUUGCAUAUGAGAGUGAUUGGGAAUGUGUUAUCUUUUAACAACCAUUGAUGUUUAUUAAGUCGUGUUUUAAUAAUGGUAACAGCUUCUUUCCAUCAUUGGUUUAUGAAGCAGACGGAGGUAAACUUUAAAGGAAUGUGUAGUUUUAUACAACCUUGCUGUGCAGUGAAACCACCCACCCAUACAGAGCCAUUUCCUAUCAUACACAGAACAUAAAAUAGUUUUACCCACUACAACUCAAUAUUCAACAUCACUUUCUUUAUUUAGAUAUUACAGUGCAAGACCACAGAGGAAAUGGAAGAGAUCAAGGGAGAACUUGGAGACUGGAUUCAAAUGUGUUCUCUGCAGCAGUGGCUGAUAUUCCAUCAAUUUAUGAACAAGUUGUCAGCCAAUACUUAUACCACAGAUAAAGAGCUAGACAUUACCUUUGAAGAAAUUCUGAUCUUCGCAACGGGAGCUGAUUCUGCACCACCUCGCGGUUUUCCCUCGAGUGUGAGAUCCAGUUCUACGAUCAAGAGCCUGGAAGCCAGCGGAUGCCAUACUCCUCAACCUGUGCCCUUGUUCUGUAUUUGCUAAGAGGUAUUACAUUUACAUUUACAUUUAUUAAUUUAGCAGAUGCUUUUAUCCAAAGCGACUUACAAAUGACAGAAGAAACUGAUUUUAAAGACCUCAUGCUGCUGGCCUUAAAAUGCUCUUUUGGUCUUUGAAAGGCUUAAAUUUAGCUUUGUUUGUUGUAUGUGACAUUGCUGAUAUAAAUUUGAAUGUAAUACAUAUAAAUAUUGUUUUUAAUAUUUAAAUUUAUAUUAAAAAAAAAGUUAUUAUUAUUAUUAGGGCCCGAGCACCAAUGGUGUGAAGACCCUAUUGUAUCUGCUCUUAUCUUAUUCUUCCGCUUCUCCAAAAUGAAUCGCAUUUUUGAGGGCUUUAACAUGCUCAAAAAGUCAUGAAACUUUGCACACGCGUCAAACCUGGUGAAAAUUUUCGUCUGAUAUAGGAUUCAGAAGAGGGUGAGGCAAAAUACCUCAAACUUCAUAGUCUUCCAGCUAUGUUUCACAUACAUGCACGAAAAUUGGCACAAACAUGUAACACACCAAUACUUACAAAAAAGACUCUUGGAGCAAAAUUCUAAACCCAACAGGAAGUCGGUUAUUUGUAAUAUUAUGAGCAAAUUUUGUGCAAUUUUUGUCAUUUCCAUGCGUUGUAUUUUAACAAACUCCUCCUAGAGAUUUAUUCAGAUUAACACUAAAUUUGGUAUGUCUAAUCUAAAGGCCUUUGCAAUUUUAAAUUACGAAGAUCUUGACUUUUCGUCAAAGGGCGUGUCCGUGGUGGCCUGGCGAAUUUCGAUGAUUCGCCAUGAAAAAUGAAGUUGCUAUAACUCAGACAUACAAUGUCCAAUCUGCCACAAUCUUCACGUGUGAUAAGAGUCCUGGCUUGAACAGAUCUACAUGCCCAUAUUCAGUUAUAGUCAUAGCGCCACCUAUUGACAACACAAAGUGACAUAUUUUACACUGCGAUUAACUACUCCUAGAAAUGUUAUGACAUCAGUGUCUUUUUUGUGGUCAGUCUAAUCUAAAGGCCUGUGCGAUGUUAAGUUGUGAAGAUCUUGAGUUUUCGUUAAAAGGCGUGUCCAUAGCGCUGUGACAAAGUUCGAAGUCUCACGAUGGGAAUAAAAGAUGUUAUAACUUAGGCAUAAAAUGUCUGAUCUUCUCCAAACUUCACAUGUGUGAUAAGAGUCCUGACCUGAACAGAUCUGCAGGCCAAUAUUCCAUCGGUUGUGGCCAAAUGGCUCGAUAGCGCCACCUAUAAACUUUCAACGGAGUGCGCCUCGAGCUACGUUUCACAUACAUGUACAAAAAAAAAAAAAUCCCAACAGGAAGUCGGUUAUUUCGAAUUUUCUUUGAAAAAUUGGUGUUGUUUUUGCCAUUUUCAGGGGUUGUACUUUAACGAACUCCUCCUAGAGAUUUAUUCAGAUCAACACCAUACUUGGUCAGUGUAAUCUAAAGGAUUUUGCGAUGGUAAAUUGCGAAGGUCUUGAGGUUUCGUUAAAGGGCAUUUUCAAUGGUGGCCUGACAAAUUUCGAUGUUUCGCCAUGAAAAAGGAAGUUGCUGUAACUCAGACAUACAAUGUCCAAUCUGCCCCAAACUUCACAUGUUUGAUAAAACUCCUGACCUAAACAGAUCUACAUGGCCCUAUUCAGUUACAGUCAUAGCGUCACCUGCUGGCAACAGGAAAUCACAUAUUUUAUGCUUUGACAAACUACUCCUAGAAAUUUUUUGACAUUAAUGUAUUUUUUGUGGUCAGUCUAAUCUAAAGGCCUGUGCAAUGUUAAAUUGUGGAGAUCCUGAGUUUAACAACUGUUUAUAUGUUAACAUGUCAUUGAUUUCUGUGAUAAAAGCUGAAUUUUCAACAUCAUUACUCCAGUCUUCCAUGUCACAUUACCUUCCGAAGUCAUUCUAAUAUGUUUAUUUGCUGAUCAAGAAACAUUAAAGUGCAAGAAUAGUAGUAAGAACUCAAAUUUUCUUCACUAUGUUGCAAAGCAUAAACAUUUUUGGGCCCUCUAUUUCAGGAAAAUAUGUGAAGAAUAGGCUAUGUGAAGAAAUCGAGAAUCUUUCAUUUCUACCAGCCAGUGAUGAUUCUGAAAAACAUACCUGGCUUUAAUUACUUACGUGUUAAUCAUUUCAGACCUGAAUUCUUUUCACUGAUCAAAAAAAAAAGUUAUCCACUUGAUAUUUGCUCUUCAUACAGAAAAUAAAGAAAAAAGUAAAAAAAAAAAAAAAAAAAAAAAAAAAAAAAAAGGGUUUGUGCAUGUUAUUUUUUCUAUAAUAUUUCUUUCAUGUCCAAAUUAAUCAGGACUGAAGAAGAAUAAAAAUACACAUUUUAAUCAUAUAUAAUGAGUAGAGCUUGUGCAAAACAGUAAUAGGGUGGACAGUAAAGGGGAAAUUUUAUGCUAAAAUCUGUUUUUGCUAUUUAUGUGCUAUUUUUUCUGUUUCUGUAAUUAUCAGUUUCCAUUGAAAAUUAGAACAAGAAGCAGAGUAAUUAACAAUCUUUUUUCAGUGUUAAAGCAUAACUGUUAUGAUUAUGUUAUUGAUUCUGUUCAGAAAUAAUCUCAAUCUGGCAGAUAGAAUGCCAAAGUCAUUUUCAACCACCAUCCAUCCUUGCUCCUAAAGGUCUCUAGUCCAUUGAGCCAGAAUCGUUGGGCCACCACCUUCCAAGUAUUUUGUGUUGGGCUGGGUAGAAACCUCUCCAUCAUCACCUUUUCAAUGGCUGCACACACCAUUUGAACUGAGUUCAUGACAGUUGUGUGCCCUAGGCGAUAGCUGGAUGCUAAGCUGAACAUUGACUCUCCAGAAGCCAAGUACAUGUGAGGAAAGAAACAAAAGAAAAUUGUUUUAUUCAUCUGUUUGUCUUCUUUAUUUCAGUUGAUGUAUGCAGGAUGAGAUGGAAGACAUUAAGAGAUGCAUUUGUGGAAAACUAGAAAAAAAUGAAUUGAAUUAACAGUAAUUUUAACAGUGAUAACAAUAUUAAUGACUACAGUAACAGUGUAAUUGUUCACAAUGUAUUACAAGAGUGAUAAAAAGUAUCAAUUAAAAUGAUAAAUGUUCCUAUACAAAAAAUUUUUACAGACCAUAAAGACAUUGCAAGGUCUAUCUAUCUGUCUUUUUGUUCAUUCAUUCAUUCAUUUGGUUGUUUUUUAAUGCUUUUCAGAAAGUAACUUGACACUACAAACAGUUAAUAUGGAAGACCGUAAGUUCUGUUUCCCCACUGACAACAUUGGGUACAGAUAAAAGAUCCAGUACCCCUGGGCUUUCCUUGCAGAGGUCCCCCAUCACUUGCCGUACCCACAACAUCAGAUGAGAGUGAAAGGCCCUCUAGGUCCCGUAGUGCCUCAAGAAAAAAGGAGGAACCAGAGACCACAGACAUUGUGGAGUGGCUGAUGUCUUUUUUUCAAGUGGCUUUUACCAAACCACACAUACUGAUGCUGAACUAGAUGAAGCUUACCACUUUGCUCUCAGCCUUGUGCCAAUGUUGCACAGAUUGGAUAAGGACAGGAGGCAAAAAGCCAAAAUAGAGAUCUUGAACACAUUACACAAACUAGAAAAAAAAACAACACCAGCAAACUGUUCCCCCAAAACAUGCAGCUGGUUGGCAACCAUUUCAUCCUCCAACAUACACGCCAAUAUAUCCACCCACUCAGGAAAUUACAGGGCAGUCCAGCUCCAGGCCAGCAGGUUUUCGGCCAAUUACCCUUCCUCCACAAGGUACACAAUGGGAAGACGAUAGCACUUAUGGGUCUUACCACUGAGACUUGUAGUCAGUCAAGUAAAACUGACUCGAUUGUACAUAAUUGAUGUAAAAAUGUAAAAGUGUGUUUUUUUAAUUAUUUUAAAAGUGCCUUUUAUUUAAAAUGUUGUGCCUAUUGGUUCUUUUGAUGAUUUUUACUGUUUUAUUUUGUCAAUUUGAAGUUGGUUAUUACAUAUAUUUGUUACUAAAACAAAUAUGAACCUUUGCUGUUUUUGAAAGCUGAAUGAUUCAAUGUUUAUUAUUACAAAUAAAAAGACAAAAAUGAGUUCAAGUUCAAGUUGAGAUUUAUUGUCAUAACGCUACAUUUGUGGACAUACAGUGGAACGAAAUGUGCCUCACAGGACCACAGUGCUACAUAAAUACAGACAUACAACAAUGAAGGAAAACAGUAAAAACCUACACAACACAACUAACACUGACAGAUUUGAACUAUAAAUAUAAAUGUUUACCUAUACAUAGACUGAAACAGAAAAAAUACAGGUGCUGGUCAUAUAAUUAGAAUACCAUCAUAAAGUUGAUUUAUUUCACUAUUUCCAUUCAAAAAGUGAAACUUGUAUAUUAUAUUCAUUUAUUACACACAGACUGAUAUAUUUUUAAUGUUAUUUCUUUUAAUUUUGACUUUAUAACUGACAACUAAGGAAAAUCUCAAAUUCAGUAUCUCAGAAAGUUAGAAUAUUGUGAAAAGGUUCAAUAUCGAAGACAUCUGGUGUCACACUCUAAUCAGCUAAUUAACUCAAA
ensembl:lncRNA